CAUCUGAAUUUGGAAUAAAGAUUCAUCGGUUGUGGAUGGGGAUGCGUCUGAAUUAGCUUGUUGGCGGGGUAACGGCCCACCAAGACGACGAUCAGUAGGGGUUCUGAGAGGAAGGUCCCCCCACAUUGGAACUGAGACACGGUCCAAACUCCUACGGGAGGCAGCAGUGAGGAAUAUUGGUCAAUGGGCGAGAGCCUGAACCAGCCAAGUAGCGUGCAGGAUGACGGCCCUAUGGGUUGUAAACUGCUUUUAUACGGGAAUAAAGUCAACCACGUGUGGUUGUUUGUAUGUACCGUAUGAAUAAGGACCGGCUAAUUCCGUGCCAGCAGCCGCGGUAAUACGGAAGGUUCGGGCGUUAUCCGGAUUUAUUGGGUUUAGAGGGAGCGUAGGCCGCCGAUUAAGCGUGUUGUGAAAUGCCGCAGCUCAACUGUGGCACUGCAGCGCGAACUGGUUGGCUUGAGUGCGCGGAAGGCAGGCGGAAUUUGUGGUGUAGCGGUGAAAUGCUUAGAUAUCACGAAGAACCCCGAUUGCGAAGGCAGCCUGCCGCAGCGUAACUGACGCUGAAGCUCGAAAGUGCGGGUAUCGAACAGGAUUAGAUACCCUGGUAGUCCGCACGGUAAACGAUGGAUGCCCGCUGUUCCGGCUAUAUGUUGGAGUGGCCAAGCGAAAGCGUUAAGCAUCCCACCUGGGGAGCACGCCGGCAACGGUGCAACUCAAAGGAAUUGACGGA
rnacentral:rRNA from 1 species